UUGUGCUCAUAUUUGGCCACACAUACACUAAAAUCAGAAUGAUACAGAGAAGAUUAGCAUGACCCCUGUGCAAGGAUGACACACAACUUAAUAAAACAUUCCAUAUUUUU
ensembl:snRNA U6 U6 spliceosomal RNA